GACGAACGCUGGCGGCGUGCUUAACACAUGCAAGUCGAACGAAGAGCGACGGAAGCUUGCUUCUAUCAAUCUUAGUGGCGAACGGGUGAGUAACGCGUAAUCAACCUGCCCUUCAGAGGGGGACAACAGUUGGAAACGACUGCUAAUACCGCAUACGAUCUAACCUCGGCAUCGAGGAUAGAUGAAAGGUGGCCUCUACAUGUAAGCUAUCACUGAAGGAGGGGAUUGCGUCUGAUUAGCUAGUUGGAGGGGUAACGGCCCACCAAGGCGAUGAUCAGUAGACGGUCUGAGAGGAUGAACGGCCACAUUGGGACUGAGACACGGCCCAGACUCCUACGGGAGGCAGCAGUGGGGAAUCUUCCGCAAUGGACGAAAGUCUGACGGAGCAACGCCGCGUGAGUGAUGACGGCCUUCGGGUUGUAAAGCUCUGUUAAUCGGGACGAAAGGCCUUCUUGCGAAUAGUGAGAAGGAUUGACGGUACCGGAAUAGAAAGCCACGGCUAACUACGUG
rnacentral:rRNA from 1 species